ACACCUGUUCGCCCUGUCUUAGGGAUGGGCCGCGAAUUCCCCGAGAUACAGAGUGAGUCACUGCAAGACCGUGGAGCGGAAUUUACUCAUCCCCCAGGAAUGGACCCUUGGAAGGCUCCAGAAUGACUAGCCUCAAGUGUUCUGUCUCAGGCACAGGGCAUUUUCCCCCCCGAACUAUGUCUGCAGUCACUUCCUCUCUGGACACAUCCUGUUUCUGGGAGCAGGCGACUUGCCAGGCAGAUCACAGCCUCUGCUGCUGGGAGCAGACGGGCGGAGACAUCCUUCCUCUAAUUUCUAGUACCUAAUCCCAUCUUCCUUCCCAGUCAGAGAUAUCAAUCAGCAUCUCCGCUUUUCCCAGGUCCCUGCACGCCAGGAAGGGAGCAUACAGAAGAGCGUGUUUCUAUUGGCAACUCCAACUUACAAGAGGUGCUUAGAGACCACUGUUGAUUCGCCACCAGCUUCUCAGGCACAGGUUCGUAAUCUUGUUUAGUGAGGUCUCCUGAGGCACAGGAGAAAAACCCAGAGGGACAAUCUGCCAUUAUUAAAAAGUAAAUUGGAACAUUAUACCGAUAGCACCACGUCGCAGAAAAUCCGGAGGUAAAAAAGGUGGGGGAACUCUCUCGUCUCUCAUGCCAACAAAACCAUGUUAUGAUUCUGGUGUGCUGCUCAUGUGAUUCCUUGCUAUGCGUGUUUUCAGACUGUGGUCAUGUUCUUGGUUUGCAUAAAGUUUAUAUCCUUCCUUUUUCACUUAACUUUUGCAUCAAAAGCAUUUCCCCUGCAUUUUGACAUAAUCUUUAUAAUCAUUUCUUUAAAGGUUGUACACAAGUCCAUCAGGGAGAUUUACAAGAAUACACUUUAAGCAGAAUACUAUUGUCGGUCCCUGUUGCCAAAUAUUUAAGAUGUUUCUGGUAUUGAUUCAUACAUGUAGUGGGGAGGAGCAAUAAAGUGGGGUAUCUACACCUAGUAGUUUUUUUUUUAACCAGAAAAAGCUAUUAUUUGAAUGUUGUCAGUGAAAUUUAUCAUAAGAGUGUAUAAAUCAAUGGGAAAAUAUAGAUAAUCUUUCAAAAUAGUGUCGGGGAUAACUGAGUGGCCAUGUGAGGUGGGGGAAGGGGAAAAUUUGGAUCCAUUUCUUUAACUAGGAUAAAUUCCAAAUGCACCAAAUAUUUAGAUGUCAAAAAAGAAAGAAAGAAAGAAAGAAAGAAAGGAAGAAAGAA